rnacentral:rRNA from 1 species
UACGGAGGAUGCGAGCGUUAUCCGGAUUUAUUGGGUUUAAAGGGUGCGUAGGCGGUCCGUUAAGUCAGCGGUAAAAUUGCGGGGCUCAACCCCGUCGAGCCGUAGAGACUGGCAGACUUGAGUUGGCGAGAAGUACGCGGAAUGCGCGGUGUAGCGGUGAAAUGCAUAGAUAUCGCGCAGAACUCCGAUUGCGAAGGCAGCGUACCGGCGCCAGACUGACGCUGAGGCACGAAAGCGUGGGGAGCAAACAGG